rnacentral:rRNA from 1 species
GUGGGGAAUAUUGGACAAUGGGCGCAAGCCUGAUCCAGCCAUGCCGCGUGAGUGAUGAAGGCCUUAGGGUUGUAAAGCUCUUUCGCCGGUGAAGAUAAUGACGGUAACCGGAGAAGAAGCCCCGGCUAACUUCGUGCCAGCAGCCGCGGUAAUACGAAGGGGGCAAGCGUUGCUCGGAAUCACUGGGCGUAAAGCGCACGUAGGCGGAUCGUUAAGUCAGGGGUGAAAGCCUGGAGCUCAACUCCAGAACUGCCCUUGAUACUGGCGAUCUUGAGUUCGAGAGAGGUUGGUGGAACUCCGAGUGUAGAGGUGAAAUUCGUAGAUAUUCGGAAGAACACCAGUGGCGAAGGCGGCCAACUGGCUCGAUACUGACGCUGAGGUGCGAAAGCGUGGGGAGCAAACAGGAUUAGAUACCCCGGUAGUCC